CUUUUCCUAACCUGUGGUUAAAAAUUAGUAGUGUAGUAGAGACCACAGAGGAGUUUGUGGUCUGUGGUCACUCUAGAUUGAGAUAAUUUUGAUUGAAUAUAGCGUGAAAGUCUUAUGAUGAAUGUACAGGUUACCAUUUCUGGAUAGUCUGCUUGGUGUUCAAUAGCUGUUUAUAAAGCACAACAUGGUGUAUGUGUUUGUGUGCACAUACCAACUUUGUGAUUAUCUGAAUGAUUGUGCCCAAGCAUUACCUACACCAACCCCAGUAGAGGAUUCUGGGAAGGGGGAGGAGAUUUCUGGGAGGAAAGAGAAGAUUCCUGGGAGGCAUGAAGUAACUGAAGAAGAGUCUGUUGGACCAGUGCCAGAAUCUGCUGAGUCAAUUUCAGAGCCUGUCAAGCCAAUAUUGGAAUUUCAUGAGCCAAUGCAUAAAUAUCAUGUUCAUAAGUCAAUACCAGAAUCUCAUGAACCAAUACAGAAAUCUAAUGAGCCAAUAGUAAAACUUCAUGAACCAAUUCAUAAACAUCAUGAGCCAAUACCAGAAUCUCAAGAGCCAAUGCAUAAACCACUUGAAACAAUAGUGAAUCCUCAUGAGUCAAUGCAUAAACCUCAUGAGUUAAUAGUUAUUCCUCAUGAGCCAAUGCAUAAACCACUUGAGACAAUAGUGAAUCCUCAUGAGCCAAUGCAUAAACCUUAUGAUCCAGUAGUGAAAAGUCAUGAUCCAAUAGUGAAUCCUCACAAGCCAAUAGUGAAUUCUCAUGGGCCAUUAGCACAUCAUCAUGAGUCAAUGCAUAAACCUCAUGAUCCAAAAGUGAAUCGUCACAAGCUGAUAGUGAAUCCUCAUGAGCCAAUUCUUAAACCUCAUGAGCCAAUAGUGAAUUCACAUGAGGCAAUGCAUAAACCUCACGACCCAAUAGUGAAUCCUCAUGGGCCAAUAGUGAAUUCACAUGAGGCAAUGCAUAAACCUCACGACUCAAUACUGAAUCCUCAUGGGCCAAUAGUAAAUACUCAUACGCCAAUAGUGAGUCCUCAUGAGCCAAUGCAUAAGCCUCAUGGGUCAACUGUGAAUCCUCAUGAGCCAAUGCAUGAAGCUCAUGAGCCAAUAGUACAUCCUCAUGAGCCAAUAGUACAUCCUCAUGAAGCAAUGCAUAAACCUCAUGAACCAA
ensembl:lncRNA